ensembl:snoRNA
CAGCAUUAGAGAGUCACCUGGGAGUUUGGCAGAAAUACAUAAUAGUCUAGCAUCAAGCAGUGCAAAAGCAAAUCCCACCACAAAGCUGGGAGAGUCAUGCCGUGGGCUACUCCUGCAUGCAGGUGGGUACAUAU